GUAUAUUAAAAUAUGAUUCGAAUUAUAAAUUUAAUUUAUGAAUUCACAUUUGAAUUCAAAGUUCAAACUAAACGAAAGAAUUGAAUCCCGUAGAUUCAUACUCGCGGCCUCGAUCACUUCUAAUUAUUUUAAUCUUUUUAUUGAAUUGAUUUUCUACUACUUGCAGGAAAUCUUUAAAUUUGUCAAAAUUAUCACUUUUAGUUUUUAGUAAAUAAAUGUAAGUAUAUUUUGAAAAAUCAUCGAUAAAAAUGAUGUAAUAUCUAUUUUCUUCACGAGUUAGAGUACCUUCAAAUUCACAAAUAUUACUGUGAAUUAGCUUAAGUUAUUCGGUACUUCUUUAAAUACUCAUAUGAGGUCGUUUAGUGAUUUUUGACUUACUACAUGUUUCAGACUUUUCAAAAUUACUAUUCAAUCUAGGAAUUAAUCUUAAAUUACUCAUUACGCUAACAUGUCUGCUAUUAAUAUGACACAAAUGAGCAUACUAAAAAUUCACAGAAAAAAGCAUGUAAGUAGAAAUAGAAGAUGCUUUAUUCUCAAUGCUUAAUUUAAAUAUUCCAGUGCAUGCAUAACCUUUAUCCACAAACUUUUUAUUCUUGAAAAUCACAUACUGAUCAGACUUAUUCUGUUUGAAGCUAGCUUUGUUAAGAAAGAAAACUUGACAUCAAGUUCUUCCUAAUAGAAGGUGUGUACAAUACAUCUUUCAAGAUGAGUACCUUUUGGAAAGAAAACUUUAACUCGACCUCACCACUCCCUAAAACUUCAGAAGUAUGUGAAUCACCAAGCAUGAUAUUUCUUAGCUGUUCAUAUGGAGCAUAUAUUUUAAACCAAGUCUUAUUAUGAUAAACAUGCCUAUUGACACUAAAGUCUACUCACCAUCCUUCAACAUUACCAAACAUAUGUCUGUUAUCAUUGCUACAAGUGGCUCCUUAGUAACAUUAGCUUGAGAUAACAUUGGCUCAAAUAUGAAGUGCAUAGGUUAUAAAAAUUAAAAUUUUAUAUUUAAUAAUAAAAUAUUACAACACUUUUUGCUACUAAUGUACAUUCAUAUGUAUGCAAAAACUCUAAAUGGUACUAUAGAAACUGAUUUUGGCAAAAGUUCAAAUGAUGUUUGAUAAAGAUCAAGGUAACGUAGAUGCUUCAAGCCCCUAAUUGAUUUUGGUUGGUUUUUUAAUCUGCAUUCGUUAAGAUCCACCACCCUUAGUGUUUUAAGUUUGACGAAUGUGCUGCGGAGAAGAUCAUUAAUGUAUCCAUUAUUAGUCCUCGUAAAAACCAUCAACGUGUGGAGAUUUUUAAAAUUGCAUAUCUUCUCAAUAAGAUCACUCAGUCUAUUGAGGUGGAGGCAAAGAUGACGAAUCUCUUGAGGUACUGCCUUUGUUGGAUUUCCUUCAAUUCUAAGACAUCGAUCUUUAGAAACCAUCUCUGCUAGAUCAUGCAAAAGCUCAUGUAUAGUGUAAAGACAAUCGGAUUUUGCUAGCUAAAAGAAAGAGCAAGAAAGUAAAUCAUCAUAGUACUCUUGGCCUACAUCCUCAAUUCUCUUGCUUUUAUCUACUAUCGUGACGAAGGCCUCAGUGACCAACAGGCGAAUUAACUUGUCGUGCUUGAUUUUUUUUCUUAGAAAAUAUACUGCAUCAUGAGAAGCACCUCUACAAGUGUGCUUCUACGUUUUGAUAGCUCCAAAAAAGAGACUUCCUGGUGUCUUUUAAUAGGUUUUCACUUAAAAUCUUGUUCCAAAAGUUCACAUCUAGCCUUUUGCAAGCUGACUACCAACCAUUCUCACAGAUAAAGGGAGAGCUAUGUAGAUUCGGUGCGUUCUGCCUGAUAAUGUCUUCUAGUUUCUUGUAUAGCUUGUUAUCAUCAAUUUUGGCAUUACUAAAGGCAUAGUACGCAAACAAGGACAAGAAGUCAUUUUUUUUCUAGUUCCUUUAUGUGUAAAAUGCUUCUAGCGCCCAAGGCUUCCUCUACUCUCUUCUUGCGGGUCAUCAUUAAGAUCUUGCUUCCACUUUACCCACACUUAAAGGAGCAAGCAGCUGCUCCUACUGCACCUCGACCACUUCUUUCUCGUCUUAUACAUCGUCCAAUAUGAGUAAAAAAUUACUUGAUCUUAGGGAAUCUUUCAAGUACUUUUGAAGGGUGUCGAGAAUAGUCUUAAGUCAGGGUAUUCCUUUCUAGAUGUUAACUCCACCAUCUUUCUUGUCAAUUUUUUCGACAUUCAAACUCUUAAAUACAUGAACCUAUAUGAUGAUACCGAAAUGCUAGGCUUCUACUUCUCUUUCAUAAUCACAAACAUACUGUGCAAGAGUAGUCUUCCUAGUCUCUCCUAUACCAAUGAUGGCUACAACAAAAUAGCAUUUACCAAAUCUAGAUUCAGGUUCGAGCCUCGCCGUCUUAUAUAGCAUCUGGCAGGAUUGGCUUCAAUCGCGAUCGGCCUCCUCAAAAAGGGCUACUCCUACGUUGGCAUGGAUUUGGAUGAAAAGUUGUGGCAUCUGUAAAAUAUUAUCAUUCCCCAAGUGGAGAUACUGAUCGAGGCCGCAGGAAAUAGCCCGCACAAAGACAGCCUCCGUGGUUGACCCCAAGUGGAGAUGCUAAUCGAGGCCGCAGGAAAUAGCCCACACAGAGACAGCCUCCGUGGUUCGCUGCACAGCCUUGAGGAUGCAAUUUACGAAGUCGAGGACGUGCUGGACUUGCACGACUAUAAUCUUCUCAAACAAAAAGUGAAGAACAACGUAGAAGGAAUCGUAGUAUGUCUUGAAUCUCUUCCUAUAAUCAAAGACAUCAUCAAAAAAAUUGAGUAUUGCGCUACCACGUAUAAAGCUGAAAAAGAGCUUGAUGCAGCUAGAGAACAUUGCCACAAAAGCAAAGGAAUUCCAGCCGUUCUUACCUGUGGGAAUUAGUAAUGUAAGAACCUCUAAUGAAUCAUGUCGGAGCUCGCGCACAAAGUGUUUGGCUUAGACAAGAAGCGUGAUCAUAUCGUUGACCUUCUACAUGAGACGAUAAGGCUCGAACCUCAAUCUAACUUUGUUAAAUGCUAUUUUGUUGUAGCCAUCAUUAGCAUAGGUGGGGCUGGGAAGACUACUCUUGCAUAGCAUGUUUGUGAUUAUGAAAGAGAAGCAGAAGCUUAGCAUUUCGGCAUCAUCAUGUGGGUUCAUGUAUCUGAGAGUUUGGAUGUCGAAAACUUGACAAGAAAGAUGGUGGAGUUAGCAUCUAGAAAGGAAUGCUCUGAUUGACUAAUCUUGACACCCUUCAAAAAUAAUUGGAAGAUUCCCUAAGAUCAAAUAAGUUUUUACUCGUAUUGGACGAUGUAUGGAGCGAGAAAGUGGUGACCGAGGUGCAGUGGGAGUAGUUGCUCGCUUCUUUAAGCGUGGGUAAAAGUGGAAGCAAGAUCUUAAUGAUGACCCGCAAGAAGAGAGUAGCGGAGGCCUUAGGCGCUUGAAACAUUUUACAUCUAAAGGAACUAGAAAAAAAUGAAUUCUUGUCCUUGUUCGCAUACUAUGCCUUUGCUAAUGCCAAAAUUGAUGAUAACAAGUUAUACAAGGAACUGGAAGACAAUGUGAGGUAGAACAUGCCGAAUCUACAUGGCUCUCCCUUAGCUGAGAAAAUGGUUGGGUAGUCAGCUUGCAAAAGGCCAGAUGUGGACUUUUGGAACAAGAUUUUAAGUGGAGAGCUAUUGAAAAACACUAGAAAGUAUCUUUUUGGGAGCUAUCAGAACCUAGAAGCAUACUUGCGGAGGUGCUUUUCAUACUGUAGACUAUUUUCUAAGUCAAGAAAUCCGGCGCGACAAGUUAAUUUGCCCGUGGGUUGCUGAGAGCUUCAUCAAGACAGUGGAUGAGGGCAAGAGAAUUGAGAAUAUAGGCCAAGAGUACCUUGAUGAUUUGCUUUCCUGCUCUUUCUUUCAGUCAACAAAAUUUGAUAGUCUCUGUACUAGACAUGAUCUCUUGCAUGAUCUAGCAGAGAUGGUUUUUAAAUAUUGAUCUCUUAGAGUUGAAGAAAAUCCAACAAAGGUGGCACCUCAGGAGAUUUGUUAUCUUUGCCUCCACAUCAAUAGAUUGAGUGAUCUCGUUGGGAAGAUAUGCAAUUUCAAAAUCUCCUCAUGUUGAUAGUCUUUACGAGGACUAAUAAUGAUUACAUUAAUGAUCUUCUCCGCAGUAUAUUUGUCAAACUUAGAAAAAGGGUGGUGGAUCUUAACGGAUGUUGAUUAAAAUAACUAUUAGAAGCAAUUAGGGGCUUGAAGCAUAUACGCUAUCUUGAUCUAUGUCAGACAUCAUUUGAAAUAUUUCCAAAAUUAGUUUCUGCACUGUCAUUGGAGUUUCUGCAUAUGUAUAAAUGUACAUUAGUAGCAAAAAGUGUUAUAACAUUUUUUUAUUAAAUAUAAAAAAAUUAAUUUUUAUAACCUAUGCACUUCAUAUUUGAUAAUUCAUAACCUACAUCUCUUCGGUUUCUAGAACUCACAGCUUACGUUUUGUAAAACCUAAACUUUAAGCUUAGUACUAAAUGUCAUUUAAACUAUGGACUCUAGAACUUAAAAUUAAAACUUAAUAAGUUGUAACUUAUGGCUUUAAUAUGUUGUAUCCUAUAGGCUUGUGAACUCGAUAUAUAGUGAGCGUCUCUAUUCUUUGAACAUAUAACAAAAAAAAAUACAAUUUUACUUUCACUAUCUCUAUUCUACUUGAGAGAGAUGUCAAAGAAAGAUAUUCAUUUUGGUAGAGCUUUGGGUUAUCUACUUAUGCGAUUUGGUAAAGCUACAUGACGAGGGUCAAGCCAUUAUAUCCUGAAAGGGAUAAGCCAGUGUUCUGUUGCAUCGAUUCGAGGGCUUUGCCAACCGCAAAGGGCUUGAAUCUUCUUAAAGAGAGUGGGAUUUUUGUGUCUCGGGUCGAUCAACUCGUCGACACUUUUUAUAAUUUUCUUUUGUAACCGAACCUCUAUUUUUGUGUAUUUACACCAACGCUUUUAAGAAGAUUCAAUAGAUGGAGGCUACACAGAAAAAGUUCAACGAUACUAUCGAAAUCUCGCCAAUCCCUUCCACUUCAAAGGAAGCCACUUCAAGAGGUCGAAAGAAAAAGUGUUAAUUCUAUCUCAAUCUACUCAAAGUUAUAUCCUUCCUUAUGGAGAAAAAUCCAAAGAAGACUAACACUGACAGACAAUAUGACGGAGGAUGAACUUCUUGGAUACUACGACAAAACUGAAAAAUAUGAAAAGGAUGAAUGCAAUUGUCGGUCGAGCUCUUCCUUUAGGUGGCUGUACCUACUGGGAACUAUGUUAUAGUUCUCACCUCCAUGUUUUACAGCUCCUUCCGCAAUAGAUGCGGCGGAGCAUGGAAAGGGCGUGGCACAGUAGAUAGAGGUCCCACCGUCACCUAGUAGAAAGCGCCAUUUUGGAAAUGUAAAGAAAAAGAUAAAUGUAAAGCAUAUUUUGGAUUGUAUGCUGUAAUGAAAUAUAAACAAUGAAUGAAAAGAAUAAUGUAAUAAUUACUUUUGCUUAUAUUAGUUGAUAUCUUCCUGAUAUAA